UCGAACGAUGAACCACUUCGGUGGGGAUUAGUGGCGAACGGGUGAGUAACACGUGGGCAAUCUGCCCUGCACUCUGGGACAAGCCCUGGAAACGGGGUCUAAUACCGGAUACUGACCCUCACGGGCAUCUGUGAGGGUCGAAAGCUCCGGCGGUGCAGGAUGAGCCCGCGGCCUAUCAGCUUGUUGGUGAGGUAAUGGCUCACCAAGGCGACGACGGGUAGCCGGCCUGAGAGGGCGACCGGCCACACUGGGACUGAGACACGGCCCAGACUCCUACGGGAGGCAGCAGUGGGGAAUAUUGCACAAUGGGCGAAAGCCUGAUGCAGCGACGCCGCGUGAGGGAUGACGGCCUUCGGGUUGUAAACCUCUUUCAGCAGGGAAGAAGCGAAAGUGACGGUACCUGCAGAAGAAGCGCCGGCUAACUACGUGCCAGCAGCCGCGGUAAUACGUAGGGCGCGAGCGUUGUCCGGAAUUAUUGGGCGUAAAGAGCUCGUAGGCGGCUUGUCACGUCGGUUGUGAAAGCCCGGGGCUUAACCCCGGGUCUGCAGUCGAUACGGGCAGGCUAGAGUUCGGUAGGGGAGAUCGGAAUUCCUGGUGUAGCGGUGAAAUGCGCAGAUAUCAGGAGGAACACCGGUGGCGAAGGCGGAUCUCUGGGCCGAUACUGACGCUGAGGAGCGAAAGCGUGGGGAGCGAACAGGAUUAGAUACCCUGGUAGUCCACGCCGUAAACGGUGGGCACUAGGUGUGGGCGACAUUCCACGUCGUCCGUGCCGCAGCUAACGCAUUA
rnacentral:rRNA from 1 species